UAAGGAAUAUUGGUCAAUGGACGCAAGUCUGAACCAGCCAUGCCGCGUGAAGGAUGAAGGUCCUCUGGAUUGUAAACUUCUUUUAUCUGGGACGAAAACGGGAUUUUUAUCUCAAUUGACGGUACCAGAGGAAUAAGCACCGGCUAACUCCGUGCCAGCAGCCGCGGUAAUACGGAGGGUGCGAGCGUUAUCCGGAUUUACUGGGUUUAAAGGGUGCGUAGGUGGGCUUAUAAGUCAGUGGUGAAAUCUCCGAGCUUAACUUGGAAACUGCCGGUGAUACUAUAGGUCUUGAAUUAUCUGGAGGUAAGCGGAAUAUGACAUGUAGCGGUCAAAUGCUUAGAUAUGACAUAGAACACCAAUUGCGAAGGCAGCUUACUACAUAUAAAUUGACGCUGAGGCACGAAAGCG
rnacentral:rRNA from 1 species